rnacentral:rRNA from 1 species
UUUCGAAUUAUUCACAAUGGGCGAAAGCCUGAUGGUGCGACGCCGCGUGAGGGAUGAAGGUCUUCGGAUCGUAAACCUCUGUCACCGGGGAAGAAUGGCUAUGACCUAAUACGUCAUGGAUUGACUUAACCCGGAGAGGAAGCAGUGGCUAACUCUGUGCCAGCAGCCGCGGUAAUACAGAGACUGCAAGCGUUAUUCGGAUUCACUGGGCGUAAAGGGUGCGCAGGCGGUUAUGUGUGUUAGAUGUGAAAGCCCGAGGCUCAACCUCGGAAUUGCGUCUAAAACUACAUGACUAGAGUACCGGAGAGGAUAGCGGAAUUCACGGUGUAGCAGUGAAAUGCGUAGAUAUCGUGAAGAACACCAGCGGCGAAGGCGGCUAUCUGGAAGGUAACUGACGCUCAGGCACGAAAGCGUGGGGAGCAAAAGGG